rnacentral:tRNA from 1 species
AAAGAUUUAAGUUAAAAAAACUAUUGACCUUCAAAGUCAAAUUUGGAUAAUUUUCCAAUCUUUA